CUUGACAUACAGGGUAAACCGGCACAAUGUNGGGUCCGCAAGGGAUCCUGUACNGGUGGUGCAUGGUUGUNGUCAGNUNGUNUCGUGAGAUGUUGGGUUAAGUNGCGCAACGAGCGCAACCCUUGUUNUCUGUUGCCAGCGCGUAAUGGCGGGGACUNAUAGGANACUNCCGGGGUCAACUCGGAGGAAGGUGGGGAUGACGUCAAAUCAUCAUGCCCCUUAUGUCUUGGGCUUCACGCAUGCUACAAUGGCCAGUACAAAGGGCUGCGAGACCGCAAGNUGGAGCGAAUCCCAAAANACUGGUCUCNGUUCGGAUUGGGGUCUGCAACUCGACCCCAUGAAGUCGGAGUCGGUAGUAAUCGCUGAUCANCGACNACUCACGGUGAAUACGUUCCCGGGCCUUGUACACACCGCCA
rnacentral:rRNA from 1 species